rnacentral:lncRNA from 1 species
GCCGCCCUAUCGAUUAUAUCCAUCAAUAGUUUAUAUUAGAGGCUAGUCCAUAGAAAAACAUUUCACACAUUUCUUGGAGCAUUCAUUUUUGUACUUCCCAUCCCGAAACCCGAACAAUCAGCAAGACCCGCGAAUUCAGCUGACAGAUAAAUGUCUCGCAUCAGAAUCUAUUCCUAAUGCCUUCCACCCUCAAAACUUGACUGGGAUCAAGGAGGAACACAACUUUCAAUUUACCAAUAGCCGUUCAAUCAUCAACGCUAAUCAAGUGUUCGGAAGAGCGAGCGCCAAAUGGAAUUUGUAUACAACAGAGUGGCAGGCUCCUGACUCUUCUCCUCCUUGAUGCAUAAAGUCCCAUAAAUCACUUGAAAAUUACGUUGCUGCAAGCCCCCAAUGGGGGUCUGCAGAGAAGAGGCGAACGAAAUCAUCCAGGCCACAGCCAUCCC